rnacentral:tRNA from 1 species
GGGCGGUUAGCUCAGUUGGGAGAGCGCCUGCCUUACAAGCAGGAGGUCGCAGGUUCGAGACCUGCACCGCCCA